rnacentral:rRNA from 1 species
GACGAACGCUGGCGGCGUGCCUAAUACAUGCAAGUCGAACGAACCGCGACUAGGUGCUUGCACUUGGUCAAGGUGAGUGGCGAACGGGUGAGUAACACGUGGGUAACCUACCUCAUAGUGGGGGAUAACAGUCGGAAACGACUGCUAAUACCGCAUAGGACAUAGGAUCACAUGAUCCAGUGAGGAAAGGUGGCGCAAGCUAUCGCUAAGAGAUGGACCCGCGGUGCAUUAGCUAGUUGGUAGGGUAAAGGCCUACCAAGGCGAUGAUGCAUAGCCGACCUGAGAGGGUGAUCGGCCACAUUGGGACUGAGACACGGCCCAAACUCCUACGGGAGGCAGCAGUAGAGAAUCUUCCGCAAUGGACGCAAGUCUGACGGAGCAACGCCGCGUGAGUGAAGAAGGUCUUCGGAUCGUAAAGCUCUGUUGUUAGAGAAGAACAGCGCAUAGAGUAACUGUUAUGCGUGUGACAGUAUCUAACCAGAAAGCCACGGCUAACUACGUG